ACCAGAAAAAAGUUGCAAUUGCACGGUCAAAGACAAUUGUGGAUAAUAGUUUCUUGACGUUAGAUGGCAAGAACGACUCAAAAGCUGAAAGGAAGAAGCAUACCUCAAACCAGUUUAAGGCAAAUGCUCAUUUUCACAAGCUGUUUCUGGAUGUCCCAAUUGAUGAACCUUUGAGACAAAAUUUUACCUGUGCCU